GAUGAAGAACGUAGUGAAAUGCGAUACUUGGUGUGAAUUGCAGAAUCCCGUGAACCAUCGAGUCUUUGAACGCAAGUUGCGCCCGAAGCCACUAGGCCGAGGGCACGCCUGCCUGGGCGUCACACGUCGUUGCCCCCCCCCCCAUCUACUCCUUCGGGAUUGCGGGGGACGGAUGAUGGCCUCCCGUGCGCCUAGCCGCGCGGUUGGCAUAAAUACCAAGUCCUCGGCGACGCACGCCACGACAAUCGGUGGUUGCGAAACCUCGGUUGCCCGUCGUGUGCGUUCGUCGCGCAUCGAGGGCUCGAAAAAAUGCUCGGCUCCGGCUCGGCUUUCAACGCGACCCCAGGUCAGGCGGGGUUACCCGCUGAAUUUAAGCAUAUCAAUAAGCGGAGGA
rnacentral:misc_RNA from 1 species